rnacentral:rRNA from 1 species
AAGGAUCAUUACCGAGAGGGGCUCCGUGCUCCCGGGGGCUUCGGCCCCCGCCUCUUCCCCCCCGUGAUUACUUUACCUCCUGUUGCUUUGGCGGGCCUUGGGAUCACGCCCAUGCCGGUUUGCCGGCGAGCGCCCGCCAGAAGCCCUCUCCAAUUCGUUUUAUUUUACCAACGUCUGAGUGAUUAUCAAUCAAUCAAAACUUUCAACAACGGAUCUCUUGGUUCUGGCAUCGAUGAAGAACGCAGCGAAAUGCGAUAAAUAAUGUGAAUUGCAGAACUCAGUGAACCAUCGAAUCUUUGAACGCACAUUGCGCCCCUCGGUACCCCGGGGGGCAUGCCCGUUCGAGCGUCAUUGCACCCCUCAAGCUCGGCUUGGUCUUGGGUCCUCGCCCCCGGGGCGUCCCCGAAAAGUAGUGGCGAUCCGGUGCGACUCCGAGUGUAGUAAACCCUAUCCCGCUCCGGAAGUUGCUUCGUGAUGCGCCAGACAACCCAUCAACUAUUCCAACGAUUGACCUCGGAUCGGGUAGGAAUACCCGCUGAACUUAA